GCAACACAAGCAGAGAACCUUCUAUAAGGGCAUUCCACAAAUAUAUAUGUUUUGUCAUCACCAUUCUAGCCGUGUUCCUCCAACUGAAACAAGAAUCUGGAACGAUAUCUUUGUUUGACGCAGACUACCCGUCUUUUGUGAUACUUAUUGUUGCUAUAAUCGUUUACGGAUGGUCAUUAAUUGGCGGCACAUAUAUACGCCAAGCUCACCUUAAUUCAAAUUUGGCCAAAUUUAUAGACAAUAUUAGCCUUCUUUCUGGAGCUCUUGCCUUGGUUUUGGAAUUGGUGAUCCUUGUUCCGGCUUUAGGGUUAUUUACCCUCCUCUUCUGGAUCGUUUGUUUUGUGAGUUUUAUAGCUGUGUACUCGUACCCAUACCUGAAAACAUUGUUUACAAGGACAGUCGGAGGAGUUGUUCAUGCCGUUGAAAAAUUGAGAGAGUAUUUGCCCUCUACUUCGCAGUGA
rnacentral:lncRNA from 1 species